UACGGAGGAUCCAAGCGUUAUCCGGAUUUAUUGGGUUUAAAGGGUGCGUAGGUGGCCUGUUAAGUCAGGGGUGAAAGACGGUAGCUUAACUAUCGCAGUGCCCUUGAUACUGAUGGGCUUGAAUGAGCUAGAGGUAGGCGGAAUGUGACAAGUAGCGGUGAAAUGCAUAGAUAUGUCACAGAACACCAAUUGCGAAGGCAGCUUACUAUGGUUUUAUUGACACUGAGGCACGAAAGCGUGGGGGAUCAAACAGG
rnacentral:rRNA from 1 species